UGCACUGUGUCAGCAAGAUGAUACAGCUUCCCGGAACACAGUGUGGGUCACCAGCCCCUGCAUCGGCUGCCAAGAAGACGCUGGGGCUAAGUAGAGACAGGUGCUGUUGACAUAGCAUGAGGACCUCUAAUUCGCAUAGGCUGCCUCUUAUGUGGUCUUUGAAGGUGAUAGAUGCCCGGGUGAUGGAAUAAGUACAGAGUAACAUCGAGAUGCCUUCAAUCAACAAAUAUUUCCUGUUACAGAAGACAAGAAAGCAAAGCACAUGAUGUCUUUGCCGGUACAAAGGUAAAAAGGAGAAUUUCAAGGGGAAAAACUGUCAUCGACAACGUCAAGUAUCACAGUAACAUCUAGUAAAAAUGAUGAGUAAGAGCCCAUCGGCAUGCCUGGAGAGCCACAUUUUUUGUUAUUGAGAUAGUCAAGUCAUGAUUGCAUCUGUAGGGUACAGAAUUAAAUUCUGAUAUGUGUAUACAAUGUGGAAUGAUUAAAUCAAGCUCAUUAAAAUUUCCAUCACCUCAUUGACUAUUAUUAUGAGCCCAACACUUUUCUAACUGACAAGAAUCAGUGGUUCUACUGAGUUUUCAUUUUCAAAAGGGAAACAACAUUAUGAGAAGAUGUUCUAGAGAGUUAUCAAGGCCUUCUACAGAGUAAGUUCUCUAAAAAGAAAAGAUAAUAUGUAGAUAUCAUCUUCUUUUAUUUUGAAUCAAAGUGCUACACAGUAAUUUAUUGUUAUUAAAAUUUAACUGACAAUAUCUCAUAUUAGAACCAUUUAUGUAUUUGAUUCAAUAUUUUAAUGUAUUUUUAUGAGUCAAGAUUCAUGAUAUAUGCUGAGAAUGUAUUAGUCUAGUCAAGGAGGUCAAAGUGUUAUGAGGAAUAAUGAAAUAAAGACACUGAAUUAAUAACAGCAUUCAGAGAAGUAUUAACAAUGAAAGUUAACUAAACUUUAAAACUGUAAAUGCUAAAUAUACAUAUGCAUAAAUACGUAUAAAAUGAUUAGUAUAUCACUUAUUUAAUUGGAAAAUUAGUAUCACCAAUGCGCUUCUCUUCAUUAUCUUUGUCUAUAUUGGGUAUUUUCACUUGAAUCUACUCCGAAUUUAUAAUUAAAAUUUCCAAAUAUACAUUGUAUGAAAUUUUUUGAUCAUCUCUACAUUUUGGAUCAAUUACAGGUAUCACCAGUAGAAGACUGGAAAAUUAUAUCUGAAACUGCCCUAGGCUAAGUCGUUGUAAUGUACAUGCAUGGGAUUCUAACAAACUCUGUGGGCAUAUGCUUUCUUCAUUGUGUUUAGGAACAUUGUUAUUAAUCGAUCUUCCUCUUAUAAAAAGUGUUCCUCAAGCAAAUUUCUGAUUAAGAAAAAUUUGUGCACUUACUGAGCCAAUUGUAUUCCUAUACCCCAUUAAUCCAUGAUUAAUAUAUAACAAGUAAAGUGCUUUAUUUGUUCAAGUGCUAAUCUUGAUGUGGACGGCUCCCCAUAGUCUGCCCCCUUUUCCUACUAGAGACUCCAAAACAAAAAUAAUUUAGCAAUAAUGAGGAUUAACUGUACGUAGUUGCCUUGAAACUGACUGAAUAAGGCUAAAGGAAGAAAAAUGAUACAUUUUUAACUUAUUCAUCUGAUAGUGACUUUCUCUUCUAAAUAAUCAUGCAUAGGCAUAUUGUUAUGAAUAUUCAAGAGGUUUUUUAAUGGCUUAAUAAUUUUUCUUCCUUUGUUUCUAGGAAUAGUAGUCAUGACACACACUGAAAUAGAGGAUCACACUUGUCAGAAGCAGAUGAAUUAAUGUAUUACUUGACAAUCCGUCUACCUGCCAUAGCAUUAACAAAGCCAGACCAGUCACUAAAGGCAAUCGCUACUACCUUCUGGAUUUUCACAGAAAAAAUAUCAUAGAAUUCCCAUUGUAGGUACUCAGCUCCCCCGAUGAAAGUGAGAAUAUCCAGAGUGAAAAUUUCAUUUACCAAGAAUCAUCACUACCAAAACAUGUCCCGAGACUAUUUAACAUGGAUAACAUAUUAGGUUCAGAUUUUCCUAGCAGGAUAUUUCUGUUUAUUUCUUCCCCUAGAUAUACAGAAAUUGGCCUUGGACAAAUGUCAUCUGGAUGAAAGAAGAAGCUGAUUUUUCACAUUUUAUUUUUUCUUUACGUAAGUCAAUGCUUUUGCUAUGAUCUCUUUUCUCUCAAACUCAUCCUCUUCCCUCUUCUACCUGACCUGUGCCUGGGAUGCAGGGUUCUUCAGACUGUGUCACUUGGCCAGUGGAAAGUACCAGCAGGAAAAGAAAAGAAGGAAAUUGAUGUUGACCUGCUUACUUCCUCUUCCUGCUUCCCUUGUUGUCUGGAUGUUUGCCGAAUGAACUACGUAGGUAUAACUCCCAGGGAGGGUCGCUCUUUUAUGACUCAGAACUUCCCGAAGAUUUCUGUUGCGCAGCCCUAAAAUCAGCCCAAGAGCUUAAGGAUAACAGUGGCUUCCCUAUGUUGCUAGUUCCCGAGUGUAGUCCAUUUGUUAUGGUUUAAACGACCAUACCCUUUUCCCUGCAUUAUUUUCUUAAUAAUGCUUUUUAAAAACAAUUAUAUCAGGAAGGGCCCCAGGAAAACAAAACUAGAGAAAAAAUUCAAAAGCCCAGGGAAACAUAAAAGUUUGUUGAUUUUUGCUCAUCUUUUAAGGUACAGCACACUGUUUCACAAAGAAAUGUUAAACAGGAUUAGUCAUUAACUGGAUUAUGCAGGCUUUGCCAUUAACUGCUACUCUCCCCUUUGCCUUCUCUUCUUAAGAAAGCAUAUUGUAAAGUAAGGAUAUGAAUGCAAGGUUGUCAUGGUUACAAACUAGCAACCGUGCUACUUAACUCUUAAAGAAAAGUAUUUUCAAACUAUAUGAGAAGUAACCUAUAAUUUGCAAAACACCACGGGUUGUUUGGAGGGUUUCCUGUACCAGAGAGCUGAGGGCAGCUUUUCUGGAUGGAAAAGAUGGAAAGAUAAGUCUCCAUAAAUGACUUCUACUGGGAGGUGAGUGACAAAUUCUUCCAUGUUUUCCACUGGUUUUUAUAGAAUAGCUCCUUCACUGCAAAUCACAGAAAUGUAACUUCAGCAAUAUUGACCCCAAAUUAAAUAUGAUAGACUGUGCACAACUGUCUUUGAACUCUAUUAAGAUUGCAUAGUUACCUAGAUUCUUAGAAUUAAACUAAAUGUCAGAUGCCACACAUAUUGUUAAAUAUUUAAGAAGACCACACCAAAAAAAAAAAAAAAAUGGAAGUGACAUUUUCUUAAUUAUUCACGCUUCGAUCCCUAACCCUAAGACAUCAAUAAGUAUUAUACUACUCUUUAACUUAAAAAUGUUCAUUUAUAUUACAAAAGCCAGGUUUAUAGUGAAAUAUGUCUUGUAAAGAGCAAAAGGAAUUUAUACUUACACAGAGACUGAGAGCAAAUAAUGUAACCAUCAGUCCCAGUAUUUGAAAUAUGCUUCUAGUUUUCAGUCAAGAAAGGAUCACGUGGAUUCUAUUAGUAUAAUCUUUGCUAGGGAAUAAACCCCAAAGGUAUUUUAUAAGCCUCAUAUUUCAACUUUAUAAUAAUAUUUCUUACUUCUCCUGAAAUCGCAGCACUGACAUACUCACAAAUAGAAGUGUGCUGACAUAUUUUUAUCCUUAAAGGGUACAUAGAUAGCUCUAGGUAAUCACACACACUUACACAUAUU